CCACGAUAAUCAAAUACUUUAGACAUGAGAACAAUAUAGAAACCACAGGGAGGUAAAAUCUGAACCCAAAAAACCCUCUUUUGAAGGCAAAUAUUGUCAGAUCAAUCAAGAAAAUCACUAUCAGCAGGCCCUCGAAGAAAACCGAAUGCAUCAGAGAAAAAUCAAAGACAAGAGAUCAUCUGGAAACCAGAGAAAAAGAAGAAGAAGGUGAAAGUGUGUUGGGUGUAGAUUACUGUGUGCUUGUGUGAAUGUAUAUUCAAUGUAUAAUAUAAAAGGAAGAGGAAGAAGAAGAAGGCCUACUGUGUGGGGUCAACUUUCAUUUGCAUUUUUUGAAGAGAAGGGGAUUCAUGCAAUGAACCAAAAUUUGUGUCGGUAUGUUCAAUGUUUCUAUUCUGUGUUCAGAAUUCAGAUGCUCAGCCCAACUUUAGCUUAACGGAAGCCGAAACCAGGGCAUGUACCAAGACGUAAAAGCCCACAAAAUUAAC
rnacentral:lncRNA from 1 species